AGCAAGAGCUGCAGAACAUAUGCAGACACUGAAGCACCAUCUCACCUGCUUGAGAAACCCCAAACCAGAUGGUGUUAGAGUAUUGUCUGGAGUUUAGAAGGGAGGGGUGGGGAGCAGGCUGAAAUUCAUGUCCUACUUGUCAGCAAAGUGAGCUACAACAAGGUCUGCAACCAAACUUUAAGAAAGGACCAGAACCAGCUGGAUUGCUUUCUGAAGAUGGGGAGCAGCAGGUUCCCAAAUGUAAUAACAGCACAAGAAGCUUCAUAGUGGCGAAGUUUGGAAUAGGACCACGCAGCACAAACAGGAACCACGUCCUCCCUCUGCCAGCCAGCUGGGAGAGCCCAGUGUGCACUACUGGAGGGCGAGUGGCCAGCUCCCCAGCAGCACUGCUGCUCUUUGCUGUGGCCAAGGGCAGGGCUUUGCACCUGCAGCUGUUACUAAUAGUCUUCAUCUGAGAGAGAAAGGGGCCCCAGCUACUGCUCAACUCAUCCAAAUCCUUAACAAGGCAAAAAGGAGGCUAGUGGCGGUUAUGUUUAGGUUCUUGGUUGCUCUAGGGCAGGAAGAUGUGUGUGUUGCCCUUCCACUCAAAGCAAUUAAUCAGCCACUCAUCAUGUGAGAUCUGUGUGGAGAAAGAGAGUACGAGGAGUUCUGGAGCAGGAGGAAGUGAACAAGGAGAGCCGACAUCUGACAAGUUGUCCUUUAUUUUUUCUGCUUACACAACAAACAUGAACUCUUGCAGCUCUCAUAGGAAAGGAGCAAGUGGUGACUCUGCCUGUGCUAACAGGAGACUGCAAAAAUCCAGCGGGACCCUGAGCCCACAGUAAAGAUUCCUGCUACGACAGCACAACACCUGCCCCAUCUCCUCUGGCAGCAGAAAUGGUGUAAGCCUCUGUGGGCAAGCUGUGAGCCUGUUAACUCAGAAUAGGUACGACUGACUCAAUGAUAACAGCCAAGAUCCCUUCUCUGCUUUCUUCACUGCUCGCAGAGGUGCAGCGCAGCAUUAGCAGCUGCAGCAGCGGGGGGAGCAAAGUCCUCAGCGUGCCGCUCUCCACAGAGGGGAAAGGUCAGCAGGAAAACACAGCCCCGAGCUCUGCCAGGUGCACGAUGUUUUGCAGCAGCGCCGUUGCAGCCACAAGCAAACACCACUGCCGCAUUUCAAGUUUUGGGAUUGGGGUGCCUUCACCGAACAGUUCCCUGGUGCUUUAGGGGGUUGCCUUUCCUUCAAGGCCUCUUCAACUACAUUCCUGUCCCAGUGUAACUCUUGGUUUAGCACAGAGCCUAAGAAAGCUGGCACAGGUGAUAUGUUUUAAUACUCCAAGCCACCUGCUAGCUUUAGAGGCCUUCCCAGUGCACAGGCUGGGAGGUGCCACGGCCUUUCACUGGGAGUCCCUCACCCCAACCUAGGCGAGGAGGCUGCAGCUGGCUGCCAGCACCCUGUGGAGAGGGGCGAUGCCACACGGCCGGCUGUGAGGCCUGGGCAGCUCACGGGGCUCGCGCAGCAGCCCUUGUGCCCGGCCCCUCACACACCCGAUGUCUGUCACAGCCUGGCACUUACGCUCGGUGCAGUACUCUCCGGUCCAGCCGGGCAGGCAGGCCAGGCUGCCAUCAGCCUCGCAGACGUAGUGGCCGAAGCGGUCAUCACGGCGCUUGCAGAGGCGCGAGCAGCUGUCCCCGUAGUAGUUCUCGCUGCAGACCACCCGGUAGGAGUAGCGCAGCUGGGUCAGCGGGCCCUUCUGCACGUCCUGCGACCAGUCCUCGCCCACCGCCAGCGACCGCUGGAUCGCCAUCUGGCUGAUGAGCCAGUCCUCGGACGGCAGCUGGGAGCCUGGGGGACAAGGGACGGUGUCAGCAGCCUGCUACCACCACCACCAUCACCACCACCACCAUCAAAGCCAUCACCACCAUCAUCACUACCUCCAUCACCACCACCACCGCUGUCUGCCCCCGGAACCCCUGUCCCAAAUAUGUGUGUGCAGUGGCCCCACUGAGGAGGGUUGGAGCGUUAAUUUGGUGCCCCCGGUUUCGGUGAGCGUUAACCCAGGCUGCGGGGGCUCUGCGGAGAGAGGCCUUUCAAAGCGAGGGCUGCUGUGCUGCUGGAAUAUCCUUUUUCCUCUCUUGUCAGAAAAACAUCCCAAAGCCAUUAUUCCUUUCCAAAGGGCGGAAUUCGA